AGAAGAAGUCAGUGGGCCUCACCGAACCUUACUGUCAUCGCACCAAAUGUGCGCCUCUCGUGAACCCAACAUAUCUUCUCUCCCUGGUUCGCCGAGAUUGGGAUCGGAUGCAUGGCUUGCCGCGCUUAUUUCUCCGUCCGAUGUCCGUCCGAUACGCCGCGUUUCACUCCCAAAUGUCAGCUACGAAACCCUAGGCCGUCUCUUCUCUUACAUAAUCAUCUCCUUCUCUCCUCUUCACCUUUGCUUCCCAAAAAGAUAUGGUGUUUGAGUAGUAGGCGCCGUAGCAUUGUUCCUGUGAGGUCUCACGUGGCCACUGAAGAGAAACCCGUCUCAGAGGACAGAAUGCUCGUUUUUGUGCCUCCACAUCCGUUGAUCAAGCACUGGGUUUCAGUUUUGAGGAAUGAACAAACUCCUUGUCCGAUUUACAGGAAUGCAAUGGCUGAGUUGGGCAGGUUGCUUAUGUAUGAGGCAUCGAGGGAUUGGCUGCCUACUGUCACAGGAGAGAUCCAAUCACCAAUGGGUGUUGCUUCUGUUGAAUUUAUUGACCCUAGGGAGCCUGUAGCGGUUGUUCCAAUCUUGAGAGCUGGCCUUGCUUUGGCAGAAAAUGCAUCAUCAAUCUUUCCAGCAACAAAAACAUAUCAUCUGGGACUAAGCAGAGAUGAGGAGACGCUUCAGCCAACAGUAUAUUUGAACAAUUUACCUGAUAAAUUUCUGGAAGAGUCUCGAGUGAUUGUGGUGGAUCCUAUGUUGGCAACAGGUUGGAGAUUCAACUUUUCUGUGUUUUGUGUUGACUAUUUGACUUUCCAUCAGCAUUGAAUGGUCAACUACGUAUACCUCUCUUUGUGUAGGUACUAUAAGUAACGUGCCUUAUUGUUGUACAAUCUUGCAUAUAAGGAAAUAUGUUUCUACUACCAUUUGUAAGUUUGUAUCUAGAAAAUAAAUAAGAGGCCACAAUAGUGCCAUAAAUGGAGGUGUCUGUCUCUUUCUAGCUAAAGAUGCUUUGCUGUCUUAACAUACAUGUCUAACUCUGUCCGAUGGGGAUAUAUUUCAGCCUUUAGAAUUUGUUUCUGGUCUUUUUCUUUCUCUUAUUAAAGGCCACAACAAACAAUAAACUUUAAACUUUGGAUGACAGAAAUUUUCUGGCAUUCAAAUUUUGUUGUGUGAAUGAUUAAGAGAAUGUCAUGCGCUGAACUUUUGAUGUCCAUCACAGCAUGAGAUAUCUCUCCACCCCUCUUCCCCAAUCUGAAGAAAAAUCUCAAUCUUGCUUUCUAUGCCUCGCUUUUCGCUUGCAUGUUCAUUGCAUUACUGCACAACUCUAUGUUUUUACGUGUAUGUGCAACAAUGUUAACCUCAGGAUAGUUAGUGCGAUUCACAUGUGUAUGUGCAAUAGUGCGAAGCCACAAGGUGGCACAAUAGUGGCAGCACUUAACCUCAUAAAGGAAUGUGGGGUUG